GUUCUUGAAAGUGAACGAACCGAACUUAAGUUCUCCACGUAUUCGUAAAUGCAUUAAAAAAUCACGCUCACACGGAUUCGAUUGCAAUCGUUGAGUGAACAAAAAUCACGUGUAAAACGAAAUAUUCGAAGAAUGCAAGGAGAAUAUGUAUCAUGGCGACCCUCGAUUAAUGGCGGACUAAACUAUUUCACGAUCGUUAUUUAGAUUAUACAAUGAUAUCACAUUGGAAGAUCUUUGAAGAUAUUUUUAAUUCACUACUCAUUUAAUUACUCGAUAUAAUAUAGAAAUAUUUUUUUCAGCUUCACAAUUAUCAUCAUUUAGAUGUUAUAUCAUGUUUGUAUGUACUAACAAUAGUUUCAUUACACCACUUUUUCUAUAACGUUCAAUUGCAUACAAUGGUUAAUACAAGUUAUAUAAUCAUAGUACAAUAAAUACACUAUACUAUAUAUUUACAAUAAAAUCACGCACGAUUUACAAUGAUUUUAAAGAAAUUCUUUUGUGGCAAAUGUAGUUGAGAUGAAGGAACGAAUACUGACAUGUAAUCAAAUUUUAACUUCCUAUGAGAUGAGCGUAAAACUAGCCAAUCAGAAAAGAGUUUCACUACUCU